AGCGAACGCUGGCGGCAGGCCUAACACAUGCAAGUCGAACGAACUCUUCGGAGUUAGUGGCGGACGGGUGAGUAACACGUGGGAACGUGCCUUUAGGUUCGGAAUAACUCAGGGAAACUUGUGCUAAUACCGAAUGUGCCCUUCGGGGGAAAGAUUUAUCGCCUUUAGAGCGGCCCGCGUCUGAUUAGCUAGUUGGUGAGGUAAAGGCUCACCAAGGCGACGAUCAGUAGCUGGUCUGAGAGGAUGAUCAGCCACAUUGGGACUGAGACACGGCCCAAACUCCUACGGGAGGCAGCAGUGGGGAAUCUUGCGCAAUGGGCGAAAGCCUGACGCAGCCAUGCCGCGUGAAUGAUGAAGGUCUUAGGAUUGUAAAAUUCUUUCACCGGGGACGAUAAUGACGGUACCCGGAGAAGAAACCCCGGCUAACUUCGUG
rnacentral:rRNA from 1 species